rnacentral:lncRNA from 1 species
UGCCACGCCAUGGGUGAAUCUGGUAGUGGAUGGUGCCACGCCAUGGGUGAAUCCUGUAGUGGAUGGUGCCACACUAUGGGUGAUUUCGGUAGUGGAUGGUGCCACACCAUGGGUGAAUCCGGUAGUGGAUGGUGCCACGCCAUGGGUGAAUCCUGUAGUGGAUGGUGCCACGCCAUGGGUGAAUCCGGUAAUGGAUGGUGCCACGGCAUGGGUGAAUCCGGUAGUGGAUGGUGCCACGCCAUGGGUGAAUCCGGUAGUGGAUGGUGCCACGCCAUGGGUGAAUCCUGUAGUGGAUGGUGCCAAAACCGGACGGCGACAUAAGAAUGUGUCUGGACAAGCAAACACAGAAAUCAUACGUGGCAGGUAGCCAAUCCCCACAGAACAUUAACUUCUGCAAGGAUUGAAUGGGUCUGUCAUGUUCAGUAAACUGGAUCUUAAAUGGGUCUACCAUCAAUUGGAGCCAACACCAGAGUCGAGAGGCAUAACGACGUUUGCAGUGCAUAAUGGGAUAUAAAAGACUAAUAUUUGGAGUUUCAUGGGCGAGCGAGCAGUAUCAACAUGAAAUCACAACAGCCCUGGCAGAUAUCGAGUGGGUGGAGAACAUAUCGGAUGACAUCAUCAUCCACGCCCCAGACAGGAAGACCCCAUGACCAGCGGUUACAUGCUGUCCUCAACAUGCCGGAGAACUGUGGGCUGACUCUCAACUCAGAGAAAUGUCAAUUCAACAACAUGGACAAAUUGGUGUUUAUGGGCAUGUUACUCUCACAGAAGGGCAUUCGGGCCCACCGCUGAAAGGAGUGAGAACAGUGGUCGAGGCCCACAGUACAUGUCAUCCCAGUUCCAGAACUUCUGCCAGGAAAACGGGAUACAGCAUGCAAAAAAAAAAAACGAUGGCGAAAUGGGUACAGGCAAAUGGAAACAGAUCCGGAUUACCCAUGUUGAGGGGCUGGACCGGAAGCAGGAGCUACGCAAGUGUACAACAGGUCCAUUGAUCACUCUACCCACGGGUAGGAGCCCAGCUGAGCUCCUUUUCAAAAGGAAAAAUAAGGGAGAAGCUUCCGGAUAUAGCUACACCGCAGAGUGACCUGGAGACGCGGGACUAUGACGCUGAGCAGAAAGAGAAAUCCAAGAUCUACGCAGACAACCGUCGCUGAGCCAAACACUCUGACGUGGACGUCGGACACCAAGUUCUCCUAAAACAGGACAAAGCAGACAAGUUCACAAUGACCUUCAACGAGACACCACACACUGUGAUCAAUAAGGAGGGAAACAAUGUGGUUGUUCAAUCUACAACCAGAGCCAGGUAUUCCAGGAUUAGAACAUUCAUCAAGAGGUAUACAACCAGAGCCAGGUAUUCCAGGAAUAGAACAUUCAUCAAGGGGUACACAACUGAGGAGCCAGAUCCAGAUCCAAAGGACACCACACACAUGAAAGAGACUGUGGAACAGAGUCCUACUCUGAGACGUUACACAGAGUCCAAACCAGAGACUAUCUGUUAGGGAUCACCACAAAGACCGUAUUUUGUCUUACAGUAACAAAACAUUCUGCACUUUUUUUGUUUUUUUUACAACAUAUCUGUUUUUGCAUUAGUUCAGGCCUCACAGACAAAUGAAACUGCCA